AUGUACAUUCCUACAACAUAACGUUAAUGCACCAGAUCCCAUUAGAACUCUGCAGUUAAGUGUUCUUGGUAAUAGAGUAUUACUAGGAUGGGUGAUUGCCCAGGAAGUCCUAGUGUUUUACAUG
rnacentral:rRNA from 1 species